rnacentral:lncRNA from 1 species
GGUGCCGAACAACUCAUUCAAUAUUUGAAUUAUCUCCACAGGCUGCGCAUCCUCGAACUUACGACAAAAUUUAUCAUUCAUAGCUGCCCUCAUCAUGCAACACACAGUCAUGCGAUCAUUGAGCUACUUCAUGUAAGUGUCUCUCGCAGCACGAUGAGCAUUGGCUGUAGGUUCUUCAGGUUCCUGAUCCGUAAGGACAUACAAAAUUUUCUUAUGCUCCAACA